AUUAGAGUUUGAUCCUGGCUCAAAUUGAACGCUGGCGGCAUGCUUUACACAUGCAAGUCGAACGGCAGCACGGGGGCAACCCUGGUGGCGAGUGGCGAACGGGUGAGUAAUGCAUCGGAACGUAUCUUCAAGUGGGGGAUAACGCACCGAAUGGUGUGCUAAUACCGCAUAAUCUCUACGGAGAAAAGCAGGGGAUCGCAAGACCUUGCGCUUUUGGAGCGGCCGAUGUCUGAUUACCUAGUUGGUGAGGUAAAGGCUUACCAAGGCUUCGAUCAUUACCUGGUCUGAGAGGACGACCAGCCGCACUGGGACUGAGACACGGCCCAGACUCCUACGGGAGGCAGCAGUGGGGAAUUUUGGACAAUGGGGGAAACCCUGAUCCAGCCAUGCCGCGUGAGUGAAGAAGGCCUUCGGGUUGUAAAGCUCUUUCAUCCGGAACGAAACGGUCACGGCUAAUACCUGUGAUCACUGACGGUACCGGAAGA
rnacentral:rRNA from 1 species